UGGACUUCCGGAGUGCUGUGCUGUUCUGGGGUUCUGGGGAGGGUGUGGCUGGUCAGAGGUUACAGUCACACCGAAAAUUAAACGCUGUCACCUCCAGUUAUGAGCCGCGCUUUUUGUCAGAUUCUGUUACUCUUGUACGGGGGACCCUACAGGAUGUUGUACAUUGCAGAAAAUCCAGCACACUGGCACCCCUUACAGAAGAAACUGGAAAUGGCUGUGCAGCGAUCUCAACGGCCAAGGUUACCCAAGAAGCAGUUUGCUGUACUCAUAAAUGUCUGGAAGCUGAUGGCCACCACUUUGCACACCUCUUGUAAUUGUAGAGGCAAAAGGUGUCCUAGAUGCCCAGCAAAAAGGUAA
rnacentral:lncRNA from 1 species